rnacentral:rRNA from 1 species
AACUACGUGCCAGCAGCCGCGGUAAUACGUAGGGUGCGAGCGUUGUCCGGAAUUAUUGGGCGUAAAGAGCUCGUAGGCGGUCUGUCGCGUCUGCUGUGAAAACCCGAGGCUCAACCUCGGGCCUGCAGUGGGUACGGGCAGACUAGAGUGCGGUAGGGGAGAAUGGAAUUCCUGGUGUAGCGGUGGAAUGCGCAGAUAUCAGGAGGAACACCGAUGGCGAAGGCAGUUCUCUGGGCCGUAACUGACGCUGAGGAGCGAAAGCGUGGGGAGCGAACAGGAUUAGAUACCCUGGUAGUCCACGCCGUAAACGUUGGGCGCUAGAUGUGGGGACCAUUCCACGGUUUCCGUGUCGCAGCUAACGCAUUAAGCGCCCCGCCUGGGGAGUACGGCCGCAAGGCUAAAACUCAAAGGAAUUGACGGGGGCCCGCACAAGCGGCGGAGCAUGCGGAUUAAUUCGAUGCAACGCGAAGAACCUUACCAAGGCUUGACAUAUACGAGAACGGGCUAGAAAUAGUCAACUCUUUGGACACUCGUAAACAGGUGGUGCAUGGUUGUCGUCAGCUCGUGUCGUGAGAUGUUGGGUUAAGUCCCGCAACGAGCGCAACCCUCGUUCUAUGUUGCCAGCACGUAAUGGUGGGAACUCAUAGGAGACUGCCGGGGUCAACUCGGAGGAAGGUGGGGAUGACGUCAAAUCAUCAUGCCCCUUAUGUCUUGGGCUUCACGCAUGCUACAAUGGCCGGUACAAAGGGCUGCAAUACCGCAAGGUGGAGCGAAUCCCAAAAAGCCGGUCUCAGUUCGGAUUGAGGUCUGCAACUCGACCUCAUGAAGUCGGAGUCGCUAGUAAUCGCAGAUCAGCAACGCUGCGGUGAAUACGUUCCCGGGCCUUGUACACACCGCCCGUCAAGUCAUGAAAGUCGGUAACACCCGAAGCCGGUGGCCUAAC